rnacentral:rRNA from 1 species
GGGACCUCUUAAAAGGAGGUUUUUAGUGGCGAACGGGUGAGUAACACGUAAGUAACCUGCCUUUAAGACGAGGAUAACAACCGGAAGGUUACUAAGACUGGAUAGGAAACAAAAAGGCAUCUUUUUGUUUUUAAAAGACCUUCUUACGAAGGUAUGCUUAAAGAGGGGCUUGCGCCACAUUAGUUAGUUGGUAGAGUAAAAGCCUACCAAGACGAUGAUGUGUAGCUGGACUGAGAGGUUGAACAGCCACAUUGGGACUGAGACACGGCCCAAACUCCUACGGGAGGCAGCAGUAGGGAAUUUUCGGCAAUGGAGGAAACUCUGACCGAGCAACGCCGCGUGAACGAUGAAGUAUUUCGGUAUGUAAAGUUCUUUUAUUGAAGAAGAAAAAGUAGUGGAAAAACUAUAUUGACGUUAUUCAAUGAAUAAGCCCCGGCUAACUAUGUGCCAGCAGCCGCGGUAAGACAUAGGGGGCGAGCGUUAUCCGGAAUUAUUGGGCGUAAAGGGUGCGUAGGCUGUUAGAUAAGUCUAUAAUUUAAUUUCAGUGCUUAACGCUGUCUUGUUAUAGAAACUGUCUUGACUAGAGUGAGAUAGAGGCAAGCGGAAUUCCGAGUGUAGAGGUGAAAUUCGUAGAUAUAUGGAGGAACACCAGAAGCGUAGGCGGCUCACUGGGUCUAUACUGACGCUGAGGCACGAAAGCGUGGGUAGCAAACAGGAUUAGAUACCCUGGUAGUCCACGCCGUAAACGAUGAGUACUAAGUGUCGGGGUAAAACUCGGUACUGAAGUUAACACAUUAAGUACUCCGCCUGAGUAGUACGUACGCAAGUAUGAAACUUAAAGGAAUUGACGGGACUCCGCACAAGCGGUGGAUCAUGUUGUUUAAUUCGAAGAUACACGAAAAAUCUUACCAGGUCUUGACAUACUCUGCAAAGCUAUAGAAAUAUAGUGGAGGUUAUCAGGGAUACAGGUGGUGCAUGGUUGUCGUCAGUUCGUGUCGUGAGAUGUUAGGUUAAGUCCUAAAACGAACGCAACCCUUGUCGUUAAUUGCCAGCACAUAAUGGUGGGGACUUUAACGAGACUGCCAAUUAAACAUUGGAGGAAGGUGAGGAUUACGUCAAAUCAUCAUGCCCCUUAUGAUCUGGGCUACAAACGUGAUACAAUGGCUGUGACAAAGAGUAGCUGAAACGCGAGUUUUUAGCCAAUCUCAAAAAAGCAGUCUCAGUUCGGAUUGAAGUCUGUAACUCGACUUCAUGAAGUUGGAAUCGCUAGUAAUCGCGAAUCAGCAUGUCGCGGUGAAUACGUUCUCGGGGUUUGUACACACCGCCCGUCAAACCACGAAAGUUAGCAAUGCCCGAAAGCAGUAG